rnacentral:rRNA from 1 species
GAUGAACGCUAGCUACAGGCUUAACACAUGCAAGUCGAGGGGCAGCAUGAACAAAGCUUGCUUUGUUUGAUGGCGACCGGCGCACGGGUGCGUAACACGUAUCCAAUCUGCCCGCGGCUCGGGGGAUAGCCCAUCGAAAGAUGGAUUAAUACCCGAUGUCACCUUUAUGGUGCAUGCCAUAUUGGUUAAAGUUAUUCGGUACGGGAUGGGGAUGCGUCUGAUUAGGUAGUAGGCGGGGUAACGGCCCACCUAGCCGACGAUCAGUAGGGGUUCUGAGAGGAAGGUCCCCCANACUGGAACUGAGACACGGUCCAGACUCCUACGGGAGCAGCAGUGAGGAAUAUU